CUUGACGGCCUCGAAGCGUGGCUCCUUCGCAUCGAACUUCUGCUUGGCGUACACAUCCAUGUACUCGCCGAACACGUACUCCGGGUACUCGCCGCCGGCGCCCACCGCCGGCGAGAUGGUGGCCUCGAACGCCGGGUUGUAGAACGACGCGACGGAGCGCCGGUUUCCGUCGCGCAUGGGGAGGACGCGGUGCCACGCGCUGCGGUAGCGGCCGUUGCUGAGCACCUCCACCUGGUCGCCGGUGUUGACGACGAUGGCGUCGGCGAGCGGCUGCACGUCGACCCACUCGCCGCCCCUGAGCACCUGGAGGCCGCCGACGCGGUCGUCCUGGAACAGCAGGAUGACGCCGCCGGCGUCGGUGUGGGCGCGGAGGCCGGUGAUGAGGUCGGGGCGCGGGCACGGCGGGUAGUGGCUGACCUUGGUGCCGAAGAACGGCGCGUGGCGGCCGUCGCCGGUGAAGGCGCGCCUCAUGCGCCCCUUGUCGAGGCCGAGGUUCUCGUCCAUGGCCUCCAUCACCCUCUCGGCGAGCCCCCGCAGCGCCGCGCGGUACUCGCGCAUCGUCUCCUUGAACUCCGGCGGGUUCGACGGCCACUGGUUGUCGUCGUGGAGGUAGAAGAUGUCCUCCCAGUCCAUGUCGUCCACCGGCGCCGCCGCCUCGCCGCGCCGCUCCGCCGCCAUGAGCCCCUCCAGCGUCCUCACCGGCUCCGACUCCAUGAACGCCGCCUCCCGGAGUCGGUAGCUCUCCAAGCACACCUUCUUCACCCGAUCAAGAAGCUCCUUCGGGACGCCAUGGUUCACCAGCUGCA
rnacentral:sRNA from 1 species